rnacentral:rRNA from 1 species
UGGGGAAUUUUGGACAAUGGGCGAAAGCCUGAUCCAGCAAUGCCGCGUGUGUGAAGAAGGCCUUCGGGUUGUAAAGCACUUUUGUCCGGAAAGAAAUCCUUUGGGUUAAUACCUCGGAGGGAUGACGGUACCGGAAGAAUAAGGACCGGCUAACUACGUGCCAGCAGCCGCGGUAAUACGUAGGGUCCGAGCGUUAAUCGGAAUUACUGGGCGUAAAGCGUGCGCAGGCGGUUUUGUAAGACAGAUGUGAAAUCCCCGGGCUUAACCUGGGAAUUGCAUUUGUGACUGCAAGGCUAGAGUGUGUCAGAGGGGGGUAGAAUUCCACGUGUAGCAGUGAAAUGCGUAGAGAUGUGGAGGAAUACCGAUGGCGAAGGCAGCCCCCUGGGAUAACACUGACGCUCAUGCACGAAAGCGUGGGGAGCAAACAGGAUUAGAUACCCUGGUAGUCCACGCCCUAAACGAUGUCAACUAGUUGUUGGGGAUUCAUUUCCUUAGUAACGAAGCUAACGCAUGAAGUUGACCGCCUG